UUUUUUAAGUAUAAGUCUUUGAACUUUUAUAAAUAUAUUUGCUCUUUAAUUGAUAUCUGCUUAUUUGAGAAGCACCAAUUUGUACUAAAUUAUAUCUACUUAUUUAAGAAGCAUCCAUCUAUACUAAAUUCUUAUUUGCUUAUUUGAGAAGCAUCAAUCUGUACUUAAUUAUUAUCUGCUUAUUUGAGAAGCACAUUAUUGUAAAUCAUUUGUAAAAAUGAGAAAAUGUCAGAGUUGGUUUAUUUAUGUACCUGUGAGAAAGACGAGUAAUUCUUCGACCAAGACCAGAGUCUUAGAGAGGUCAGCGGGAAGUUGGGUCUCUAGUGUACUUGUGAGGUGAGGAAGAGGCUGUUGUUUCAAGACCAGAUCAUAAAAUAGAACUGAACUCAAAAGAAGUACAACUAAGCUUGAGGAGGGAGCGGGGAGCUUGCUGUCCAAGAUAGAUUAGUUGGGAACAGUUGGAAGUUUGACUAUAAAACUUUGUAAAGGCUUCUCCGCCUGUUGAAGGAGUAUAUAUUACUGAUAGUGAUAGGAUCUCAAGUCCUGGAAAGGAGCUUGAGACUGGACGUAGCAGCAUACCCGUGAUGUAUGUUGUGAACCAGACAAAUCUCUGUGC
rnacentral:lncRNA from 1 species